rnacentral:tRNA from 1 species
GGGGCUAUAGCUCAGUUGGUAGAGCGCUUCCUUAGCAUGGACGAGGUCUGGCGUUCGAAUCGCCAUUGCUCCA